AAGUCGUAACAAGGUUUCCGUAGGUGAACCUGCGGAAGGAUCAUUAACGAAUAACUAUGGUGUCUUGGUUGUAGCUGGCUCCUCGGAGCAAUGUGCACGCCCGCCAUUUUUAUCUUUCCACCUGUGCACCGACUGUAGGUCUGGAUGACUCUCGUACUCCGGUGCGGAUGCGAGGAUUGCUCUCGGGCUCUCCUCGAAUUUCCAGACUCUACGUCUUUUUACACACCCCAAACGUAUGAUACAGAAUGUAGUCAAUGGGCUUGAUCGCCUAUAAGACACUAUACAACUUUCAGCAACGGAUCUCUUGGCUCUC
rnacentral:misc_RNA from 1 species